GUCGAGCGAAGCUUUUCAGUAGUUUACUACAGAAAAUGACUGAGCGGCGAACGGGUGAGUAACGCGUGAGCAAUCUACCUUAGUUACAGGGAUAGCCCGAGGAAACUCGGAUUAAUACCUGAUAUUCUUUAAAUUUCGCAUGAAAUUAAAAGGAAAGGUCAGCCGAACUAAGAUGAGCUCGCGUUCUAUCAGCUAGUUGGUGAGGUAAAAGCUCACCAAGGCAACGACGGAUAGCUGGUCUGAGAGGACGAUCAGCCACACUGGGACUGAGACACGGCCCAGACUCCUACGGGAGGCUGCAGCAGGGAAUAUUGCGCAAUGAGCGAAAGCUUGACGCAGCGACACCGCGCGUGGGAUGACGGAUCUAGGUUUGUAAACCACUUUCAGGAGGGAAGAAAAUGACGGUACCUCCACAAGAAGCCCCGGCCAACUACGUGCCAGCAGCCGCGGUAAUACGUAGGGGGCGAGCGUUGUCCGGAUUUAUUGGGCGUAAAGAGCUCGUAGGCGGUUCAACAAGUCGGUCGUAAAAGUUCAGGGCUCAACCCUGAAAUGUCGAUCGAUACUGUUGUGACUAGGAUACGGUAGAGGUGAGUGGAAUUCCGAGUGUAGCGGUGAAAUGCGUAGAUAUUCGGAGGAACACCAAUUGCGAAGGCAGCUCACUGGGCCGCUAUCGACGCUGAGGAGCGAAAGCUAGGGGAGCAAACAGGAUUAGAUACCCUGGUAGUCCUAGCUGUAAACGAUGGAUACUAGACGUAGGAACUGGAUUGACGGUUUCUGUGUCGUAGCUAACGCGUUAAGUAUCCCGCCUGGGGAGUACGGUCGCAAGACUAAAACUCAAAGGAAUUGACGGGACCCCGCACAAGCGGCGGAGCAUGCGGCUUAAUUCGAUGAUACCCGUAGAACCUUACCUGGACUUGACAUAUAGGGUCAAGCUAUAGAGAUAUAGUGUGCAUUAGCGCCCUAUAC
rnacentral:rRNA from 1 species